rnacentral:rRNA from 1 species
UACGUAGGGCGCAAGCGUUGUCCGGAAUUAUUGGGCGUAAAGAGCUCGUAGGUGGUUUGCUACGUCCGCUGCGAAAACCUAGGGCUUAACCCUGGGCCUGCAGUGGAUACGGGCAGACUAGAGGUAGGUAGGGGAGAAUGGAAUUCCCGGUGUAGCGGUGAAAUGCGCAGAUAUCGGGAGGAACACCGGUGGCGAAGGCGGUUCUCUGGGCCUUACCUGACACUGAGGAGCGAAAGCGUGGGGAGCGAACAGG